rnacentral:lncRNA from 1 species
UCAAUGUUUAUGAUUUCCGUUGAACUUAAUGAUCUUUGUUGAAUGUCUCUAUCAUGCGUAUUCCAUAGUUAGGGACUUUGAUGAGGAAUAAUUUGGUUGUAAUGCGUAUUCCAUUCAAUCCAAUGAAUCUAGGGAAAUCUAAGAGUUAAUUUAAGCGGACCUAAUUAACUUGGAACAUUGUCAUUCAUCGUUUGUUGAAGUCAUAACUGGGAAUCAAAUUAUAUGCAUAUGUUUAUGUGUGGAUAAGGAACCCUCUAACUAGUUUCUCAUCAUUCUAUUUCAUCAC